rnacentral:lncRNA from 1 species
GGCCGCCACUGGACAUUCUCCUUACUUGUGAUCAACCAGGUCUGAAAAUAAUGCUUUGUCACAAUAUCUACAUCAUUCACCUCGCUUCAUCUCAUGACAUAUGCAUCGUAUGAUCUCACGUCAUCACAAGAAGAAGGAGAAGAAAGUCAGCAAGACAUUCAAGAUGAAUAAAAAAGGAAAAAUGAUGAGACGAGAACGGGCCUGGUAAGGAAGGAAAACAAGCAAGGUUAUUGACUUAGUGAGAACAAAAUGAGACAAAUUGAACAAGUGAGAAUUGACUUAGAAUUGUAUCUAAUAAGUUUUCAUAUAUAAUAUUCCAUUAUAAUAUCCAAAUACUCUGCAAUUGUAGUUUUUAUUUUCUCUUUGACCCGAGUUACUUAAACAAGUGUUCUUUCUUUUUCCCUCAUACUGUCCUUCUCUCUCUCCCUCCCUGACUCCCUCUCUCCCUCCUUUCCUUCCUUCUUUUAAAAAAUUUCCAAUUAAUUGAAGAUUCUUUUUGUUUUUUUAAUGAUUAUUUCUAAUUUUUUUUGCAUUGUUGUCAG